GACGAACGCUGGCGGCGUGCCUAAUACAUGCAAGUUGAGCGCUGAAGGUUGGUACUUGUACCAACUGGAUGAGCAGCGAACGGGUGAGUAACGCGUGGGGAAUCUGCCUUUGAGCGGGGGACAACAUUUGGAAACGAAUGCUAAUACCGCAUAAAAACUUUAAACACAAGUUUUAAGGUUGAAAGAUGCAAUUGCAUCACUCAAAGAUGAUCCCGCGUUGUAUUAGCUAGUUGGUGAGGUAAAGGCGCACCAAGGCGAUGAUACAUAGCCGACCUGAGAGGGUGGUCGGCCACCUUGGGACUGAGACACGGCCCAAACUCCUACGGGAGGCAGCAGUAGGGAAUCGUCGGCAAUGGACGAAAGUCUGACCGAGCAACGCCGCGUGAGUGAAGAAGGUUUUCGGAUCGUAAAACUCUGUUGGUAGAGAAGAACGUUGGUGAGAGUGGAAAGCUCAUCAAGUGACGGUAACUACCCAGAAAGGGACGGCUAACUACGUG
rnacentral:rRNA from 1 species